UCCUACGGGUGGCUGCAGUGGGGAAUAUUGGACAAUGGACCAAAAGUCUGAUCCAGCAAUUCUGUGUGCUUGAUGAAGGCCUUCGGGUUGUAAAGAGCUUUAAGUAGGGAAGAAGAAAGUGACGGUACCUACAGAAUAAGCGACGGCUAAAUACGUGCCAGCAGCCGCGGUAAUACGUAUGUCGCAAGCGUUAUCCGGAAUUAUUGGGCAUAAAGGGCGUCUAGGCGGUUUAGAAAGUCUGAUGUGAAAAUGCGGGGCUCAACCCCGUAUUGCGUUGGAAACUACUAGACUAGAGUAUUGGAGAGGUAAGCGGAACUACAAGUGUAGAGGUGAAAUUCGUAGAUAUUUGUAGGAAUGCCAAUUGGGAAGCCAGCUUACUGGACAAAUACUGACGCUGAAGCGCGAAAGCUAGGGGAGCAAACAGGAUUAGAUACCCCAGUAGUC
rnacentral:rRNA from 1 species